rnacentral:lncRNA from 1 species
AGGCUGACCACGUUAUUAGUGCCAUUCCAGCUUCAGUGCUCAGUGAGCUGCUCCCUGCUGAGGCUGCCCCUCUGGCUCGUGCCCUGAGUGCCAUCACUGCAGUGUCUGUAGCUGUGGUGAAUCUGCAGUACCAAGGAGCCCAUCUGCCUGUCCAGGGAUUUGGACAUUUGGUGCCAUCUUCAGAAGAUCCAGGAGUCCUGGGAAUCGUGUAUGACUCAGUUGCUUUCCCUGAGCAGGACGGGAGCCCCCCUGGCCUCAGAGUGACUGUGAUGCUGGGAGGUUCCUGGUUACAGACACUGGAGGCUAGUGGCUGUGUCUUAUCUCAGGAGCUGUUUCAACAGCGGGCCCAGGAAGCAGCUGCUACACAAUUAGGACUGAAGGAGAUGCCGAGCCACUGCUUGGUCCAUCUACACAAGAACUGCAUUCCCCAGUAUACACUAGGUCACUGGCAAAAACUAGGUAAGUUGGGAAAACAGCUGGGCUGAGGAGGGCCAAGGACAUCAGACCCCCAGCUAAAACAUUCCUUUCAUCCUUUCCUUCCAGAGUCAGCUAGGCAAUUCCUGACUGCUCACAGGUUGCCCCUGACUCUGGCUGGAGCCUCCUAUGAGGGAGUUGCUGUUAAUGACUGUAUAGAGAGUGGGCGCCAGGCAGCAGUCAGUGUCCUGGGCACAGAACCUAACAGCUGAUCCCCAACUCUCAUUCAUGAAAAUAAAAAUUGCUGGAGCUUG